rnacentral:rRNA from 1 species
GCAAGUCGAACGAUGAACCUCACUUGUGGGGGGAUUAGUGGCGAACGGGUGAGUAACACGUGAGUAACCUGCCCUUGACUCUGGGAUAAGCCUGGGAAACCGGGUCUAAUACUGGAUACGACCUUCCCGCGCAUGCGGUGUUGGUGGAAAGCUUUUGCGGUUUUGGAUGGACUCGCGGCCUAUCAGCUUGUUGGUGGGGUAAUGGCCUACCAAGGCGACGACGGGUAGCCGGCCUGAGAGGGUGACCGGCCACACUGGGACUGAGACACGGCCCAGACUCCUACGGGAGGCAGCAGUGGGGAAUAUUGCACAAUGGGCGCAAGCCUGAUGCAGCGACGCCGCGUGAGGGAUGAAGGCCUUCGGGUUGUAAACCUCUUUCAGUAGGGAAGAAGCUGGCCUUUUGGGUUGGUGACGGUACCUGCAGAAGAAGCGCCGGCUAACUACGUGCCAGCAGCCGCGGUAAUACGUAGGGCGCAAGCGUUAUCCGGAAUUAUUGGGCGUAAAGAGCUCGUAGGCGGUUUGUCGCGUCUGCCGUGAAAGUCCGGGGCUUAACUCCGGAUCUGCGGUGGGUACGGGCAGACUAGAGUGCAGUAGGGGAGACUGGAAUUCCUGGUGUAGCGGUGAAAUGCGCAGAUAUCAGGAGGAACACCGAUGGCGAAGGCAGGUCUCUGGGCUGUAACUGACGCUGAGGAGCGAAAGCAUGGGGAGCGAACAGGAUUAGAUACCCUGGUAGUCCAUGCCGUAAACGUUGGGCACUAGGUGUGGGGGACAUUCCACGUUUUCCGCGCCGUAGCUAACGCAUUAAGUGCCCCGC